UAGCUUUUGGUAGAUUCAAGUCAUCAUACGAAAUGAAAAGUAGAGAGAUGAAAGGAGCCUCUACCCUAGUUCAAUUGUUCAAAUGCACAUGGUGAUAUGUUUUCUUGUCAUUGUUUUUUUCCCACACAUUGCUUAUUUGCUGGGAUCUCACAACCUAUUUCCUGUUUUUUCUUUUUGACCCAUCCACGAUUCAAACAGAAAAAUUGCACCCACCACCUUGCCUCAAACAGGAGCAGAAUAGUACCAGAAGACUUCAAAGGAGAAGGGGAAAAGGUUCUUCAUCUUAUGGCACAAACAGGAGCUUGGUUUCUAGGGAAGCAUAGGAUGAAAGUUGCCAUAUCCAAUCUUAAUAAUCAGAUUGACAUCAUCCAGGACUAGAGGUCAAGUAGAUGCUAGCUGGGAUCGAUGGUUCGAGGGAUGCAAUCACAAUUCAACAAGUCAUAAUCGAUGGAUUCAUAGUUGAUAGUUCAACAUCCUGCUGCAACUGCAAGAUAAAUGAUGGCUAAGUUAUUGCAAUACAAUGAUUAAUAAUAAUAAAAUUUCCUUAUGCGUUAUUUUUUCCUUUAUACUUGGUUGUUGUUGUUCUAAUAUGUUUUGUUUGCAAGAUCAAUCACUGUUCUACUUCUA